UCUAGGUUUGCUUCGGUACAGCGAUUCUUUCCCUCUUUUACCAUGAAUGUACUUCUGCUGACAGCUGUUUGUGUACAACAUUUACUCAGUGUUCAGGGAAAGUGAGGGGGCAGCAAAUUUGGUCGGGAUGUCAUAAAAAUGUGCAGAGUCAAGAUGACCAAAGAGGGAUUCUGAAGAGCCGGAGAGGAAUGUUUAUAGCGAGACGGCGGUCGGAGUUUUCCUCCCGACAUGUUCAGGUUGUGACGUUCAGCAGUGCAGAAGAGAGUCUCAGCAGAAGUUAAUAAAGGAAAGUCUUCUCAAAGCUUUCUUCAUAACGUGCUCACCAAAGUGGGCUGAGGGGAUGAGACAGUUUGGACAGGCUUUUCCAGCAUGUUGGAGGUGAAGAGAGCAGCAAAGAGAGGACUGAGGAGACAUGAGGAGGUGUAGAGAGGAGCAAAGAGGACUGAGGAGACAUGAGGAGGUGUAGAGAGGAGCAAAGAGGACUGAGGAGACAUGAGGAGGUGAAGAGAGGAGCAAAGAGGACUGAGGAGACAUGAGGAGGUGUAGAGAGCAGCAAAGAGGACUGAGGAGACAUGAGGAGGUGAAGAGAGGAGCAAAGAGGACUGAGGAGACAUGAGGAGGUGUAGAGAGGAGCAAAGAGGACUGAGGAGACAUGAGGAGGUGUAGAGAGCAGCAAAGAGGACUGAGGAGACAUGAGGAGGUGAAGAGAGGAGCAAAGACAGGACUGAGGAGACAUGAGGAGGUGUAGAGAGGAGCAAAGAGAGGACUGAGCAGACAUGAGGAGGUGAAGAGAGGAGCAAAGAGGACUGAGGAGACAUGAGGAGGUGUAGAGAGCAGCAAAGAGGACUGAGGAGACAUGAGGAGGUGUAGAGAGGAGCAAAGAGGACUGAGCAGACAUGAGGAGGUGAAGAGAGGAGCAAAGACAGGACUGAGGAGACAUGAGGAGGUGUAGAGAGGAGCAAAGAGAGGACUGAGCAGACAUGAGGAGGUGAAGAGAGCAGCAAAGAGGACUGAGGAGACAUGAGGAGGUGUAGAGAGGAGCAAAGAGGACUGAGCAGACAUGAGGAGGUGAAGAGAGGAGCAAAGAGGACUGAGGAGACAUGAGGAGGUGUAGAGAGCAGCAAAGAGGACUGAGGAGACAUGAGGAGGUGAAGAGAGGAGCAAAGAGGACUGAGGAGACAUGAGGAGGUGAAGAGAGGAGCAAAGAGGACUGAGGAGACAUGAGGAGGUGUAGAGAGGAGCAAAGAGGACUGAGCAGACAUGAGGAGGUGUAGAGAGGAGCAAAGAGAGGACUGAGCAGACAUGAGGAGGUGAAGAAAGGAGCAAAGAGGACUGAGGAGACAUGAGGAGGUGUAGAGAGCAGCAAAGAGGACUGAGGAGACAUGAGGAGGUGAAGAGAGGAGCAAAGAGGACUGAGGAGACAUGAGGAGGUGAAGAGAGGAGCAAAGAGGACUGAGGAGACAUGAGGAGGUGAAGAGAGGAGCAAAGAGGACUGAGGAGACAUGAGGAGGUGUAGAGAGCAGCAAAGAGGACUGAGGAGACAUGAGGAGGUGAAGAGAGGAGCAAAGAGGACUGAGGAGACAUGAGGAGGUGUAGAGAGCAGCAAAGAGGACUGAGGAGACAUGAGGAGGUGUAGAGAGGAGCAAAGAGAGGACUGAGGAGACAUGAGGAGGUGUAGAGAGGAGCAAAGAGAGGACUGAGGAGACAUGAGGAGGUGUAGAGAGCAGCAAAGAGAGGACUGAGGAGACAUGAGGAGGUGUAGAGAGCAGCAAAGAGAGGACUGAGGAGACAUGAGGAGGUGUAGAGAGCAGCAAAGAGAGGACUGAGGAGACAUGAGGAGGUGAAGAGAGCAGCAAAGAGAGGACUGAGGAGACAUGAGGAGGUGUAGAGAGCAGCAAAGAGGACUGAGGAGACAUGAGGAGGUGUAGAGAGCAGCAAAGAGGACUGAGGAGACAUGAGGAGGUGUAGAGAGGAGCAAAGAGGACUGAGGAGACAUGAGGAGGUGUAGAGAGCAGCAAAGAGGACUGAGCAGACAUGAGGAGGUGUAGAGAGCAGCAAAGAGAGGACUGAGGAGACAUGAGGAGGUGAAGAGAGGAGCAAAGAGGACUGAGGAGACAUGAGGAGGUGUAGAGAGGAGCAAAGAGGACUGAGGAGACAUGAGGAGGUGAAGAGAGCAGCAAAGAGGACUGAGGAGACAUGAGGAGGUGAAGAGAGGAGCAAAGAGGACUGAGGAGACAUGAGGAGGUGUAGAGAGCAGCAAAGAGGACUGAGGAGACAUGAGGAGGUGUAGAGAGGAGCAAAGAGGACUGAGCAGACAUGAGGAGGUGUAGAGAGGAGCAAAGAGGACUGAGGAGACAUGAGGAGGUGAAGAGAGCAGCAAAGAGGACUGAGCAGACAUGAGGAGGUGUAGAGAGGAGCAAAGAGGACUGAGGAGACAUGAGGAGGUGAAGAGAGCAGCAAAGAGGACUGAGGAGACAUGAGGAGGUGAAGAGAGGAGCAAAGAGGACUGAGGAGACAUGAGGAGGUGAAGAGAGGAGCAAAGAGGACUGAGGAGACAUGAGGAGGUGAAGAGAGGAGCAAAGAGGACUGAGGAGACAUGAGGAGGUGUAGAGAGGAGCAAAGAGAGGACUGAGGAGACAUGAGGAGGUGAAGAGAGCAGCAAAGAGGACUGAGGAGACAUGAGGAGGUGAAGAGAGGAGCAAAGAGGACUGAGGAGACAUGAGGAGGUGAAGAGAGGAGCAAAGAGGACUGAGGAGACAUGAGGAGGUGUAGAGAGGAGCAAAGAGGACUGAGGAGACAUGAGGAGGUGAAGAGAGCAGCAAAGAGGACUGAGGAGACAUGAGGAGGUGUAGAGAGCAGCAAAGAGGACUGAGGAGACAUG